ensembl:lncRNA
AUGAAAGGGGAGGUCUACAGACUCCUGAAGACGCAGAACGCUGCCUUCAGAGCUGGAGAUGAGGUGGGCAUGAGGACAGCUAGGGCCAACCUAUCCCGCGGCUAUGACAGCACCAUCUCCCUGCUGAAUGAGCUGAAUGCCUUCUUCGCUCGCUUUGAGGAACAAAACAGCACCACUGCACAGAAGACUCCACCUCCUCCCGGCGACCAGGUGAUUGGCGCUGUAAUUCUGCUGAAGAGAUGCACUAAAAAUGGAGAAGAAGACUUGGACUAUGCUAAAAAACCUUGCACGGUGUAUACAAAUGAAAAUGAAACAAUACAUUUAUUAAUCUGUGUUAAUGUUAGUCAAUAAAAAGACAGUCAUUCAGUGUUUGUUCAUAUUUUUGUUGCUGUUAUGUGACAGCGGUGUCUGACUUGGGGCGAGAUGUGGGCUGAUGACAUCAUUGUUUCAGAAAAUAUACAGAUUCACCCUCCACAUGAAAACGAAAGGCUGGCGUUUUCAGAUUUAUCCACUCUGGGACCUGGUUUAAAAAAAUAUUGGUUUCAAUCUCCCAAAACACCGGAUACAUGUGGAUGAAACACCUAUACGAUAAAAAAUCUAUGCGUUUACAGCUAAAAGCAUCUCCAUAUGGAUGCCGCCUUAAUCUGACACUUUUUCUUUGAUGAUGAACCAGUCAGGCUGACGGCCGUUAGAUGGACAGCUGUUCUGGACUUCUCCAGAACAUCCAGAUGUCCAGUCCGCCCCCUGCUUGUACACCAAAAUUCAUGGGUUCAAGUCUCAGUACCAGCAGGAAAUGUAGACCACCAUUAUCCAACCCAAGAUCUGCACAGCCCCCGGAGUCCUCGUACAGCAGCAGUCCUACCGAGUUCCAGAGGCUUAUCAGCUGGCUAUUCGAGGAGGAAGUCCAAAGGAUGCUACAACUAGUGAUAAUUUAUGCAUCACUUAGCCCCUUGUCUAGCCCUGUUGCAGUGUUGGGGAAAGUUACUUUUAAAAGUAAUGCCUUACAAUAUUGCGUUACUCCCUAAAAAAGUAACUAAAUGCGUUACUUAGUUACUUUUUAUGGAAAGUAAUGUGUUACAUUACUUUUGCGUUACUUUCACGUUACUUUUUAAAUAUGAGCAGGGCUUGAUUGUUUUUAAUAUAAGAAGUUCUAUUUAUAGCAAAUGUAAAAGCCCUUUCACACCAAAAAGUGUAAUGAUUAAACCUUAGGCUGAAGGAAAAGUAAAUUCACGUCUGUACAGUAGAACACAGGAGAAGAAGGUUCAACACUCUUCAGCAAUAAAAAAAAACAAUGAAGCACAAUUGUUAGUUUAUCUAAAGUCAUUUUUGAUUAUUAGUAUGGUUGAACUGGAUCAUUAAAGGUCAGCAGGAAAGACACUGUUAAUAAAAUGGGAAUAGAUACAUUUGUGUUAUUUAAUAUAAUUAGUUAUUGCAGGUUUGCGUCAUAUUCUGAGUUUGCAUUUCACUGUUUUGAUUAAUUUUGAUGAAUACUAAAUCUGUUUUGUUUUUUGUUUUUUUGUGAGUGGGAUGAAUUAAUGCACAUUCACAUUUAGUCUAGAACUACAGUAACAUCAUGUUCACACAGCGCACACAACGCCUCCAUACUUCCGAUUUCUCCCAAUAUGGGAACAGGAGGCUUGUCAGUCAAAAAAUGGGAAUACAAAGUAACUGGCGUUACUUUUUUGAAAAAGUAACUCAGAUAUUUUCUUGUAAAUUAAAAAGUAAUGCGUUACUUUACUACUUACUUGAAAAAAGUAAUCUGAUUACGUAACUCGCGUUACUUGUAAUGCAUUACCCCCAACACUGCCCUGUUGUGAUGGUUCCCAAGCAAGACGGCACUCUCAGGUUCUGUAACGACUUCUGAAAGCUCACACAAUCUCCAGCUUUGAUGGAUAUCCCAUGCCUUGAGUCGAUGAACUUUUGGAUCUGGGAAGAGCCUGAUUCAUUUCCAUGCUAGAUUUGACCAAAGGAUACUGGCAAGUGCCCCUCAAGAUUGGCAUUGUGAAACAAUCAUGGCGAUUUCUGUGAUUGUGGCUCCUAAGCGGUGGUCCUGUGUCGUACAGUGAGAGAGGUUCAAAGACAGCUGUUGUCACAGUCUUGCGACCAAAGAUAGCCUACGAUACAGCAUGAUCAUCACACAGUGUGUUUGCAGUACGAUCAACGCACUGACCAACCAAUAAAAAUGUGACGUAUGUUAUGGUAUUGCCAACCCGAGACUCAAACCCACAACCUUAGGGUUAGGAGUCAAACUCUCCAACCCUUAGGCCACGACUUCCCCCAAACAGGGCCAACUAGGUGUUGGGCUAAGGAUCAGGAAGUAAGUAAAGUGUUUGGGUGCUUUGGGAAUCCUCAAGAAGGCUUAAACAAAAGCCAACUGUGAGGGCCAAGGCAAAGGGAUUCAUAUAUGGCCUUUGAAGUAUGAGACAGUGCUCACUGCUCAACUCUUCCUUCACAUUUUUGAGCUUACAUCCCCCCUUUCAAAAUAAUUACAAGGGGAAUGGAUAUCAUCACAGCUCAACGUCUGGUUGAGGGGACAGAGGAGGGUCUCAGGAAAUGUGCUAGGGACUUUGAAGGAAUUAAGUGUGCAGCUGAUGAGUUUGUGAUGUGGGCUAAUGGAAAGUUGCAAGUGGAUGAAGAGUGUGAGCUCGUA